CGUAAUGUAAUACGCGCGUAAUGGCUAAUACAGCGAACCAAACGCCGGAUUAGGGGCGUAAUGUAAUACGUGCGUAAUCGGGGCGUAAUGGAUUGGGUAAUACGGCGAACCAAACACGCUGUAAGUUGUUAACUGCCAUUAAUGGUGUAAAGGCAAGCUGACGUGACACGUUAAAUAAUCAUUUUAAAUAAAAAUUUUAGGUUAAAUUAUACAAUUUUAGUCCCUAUCUUUUUUUGUUUUGAGCAAAUUUUUUUCUUUUAUUUUCUUUUAACUUUCCAUUUUUUUUCUUUUCUUUUCAUUCUCUUCUGCUUGUC
rnacentral:lncRNA from 1 species